rnacentral:rRNA from 1 species
AUACGGAAGGCAGCAGGCGCGAAAACUUUACAAUGCGGGAAACCGUGAUAAGGGGACACCGAGUGCCAGCAUCAUAUGCUGGCUGUCCAGGUGUGUAAAAUACACCUGUCAGCAAGGGCCGGGCAAGACCGGUGCCAGCCGCCGCGGUAACACCGGCGGCCCGAGUGGUGAUCGUGAUUAUUGGGUCUAAAGGGUCCGUAGCCGGUUUGGUCAGUCCUCCGGGAAAUCUGACGGCUCAACCGUUAGGCUUUCGGGGGAUACUGCCAGGCUUGGAACCGGGAGAGGUAAGAGGUACUACAGGGGUAGGAGUGAAAUCUUGUAAUCCCUGUGAGACCACCUGUGGCGAAGGCGUCUUACCAGAACGGGUUCGACGGUGAGGGACGAAAGCUGGGGGCACGAACCGGAUUAGAUACCCUGGUAGC